CAUUUAUCUCCUCAUAGUCAUUCUGUGGACCUAGGGAACCACCAGCCUUCCAGCUAUAUGCUAGAAGCCUCGGGGGAUGGUCUGAUUCUUUCCCCUUCGCCUCCCCCAGUACUUUUGGGGAGACAGGUGCUGGCAUACUGACCAUUGACUGGGCAAAGGCUUUUAACCUACCAGAAGUAAUGGCCACCCAGCCACCCCACACUUCUGAGCUUCUGUGAUGCCUCAUCUUGCUGCUUUUCAGCUUGAGAGGACGUAGGAUCACCAUGGAAACAGACCUCCAGGCCUGUCUAUGAGGGGUUGUCAUCGAGACUGGGCUCACUGAGUGUUGGAGUUAUACGCAUGCGCCUCCACACCUAUUUAUGUGGUGCCGGGGAUCAUACCUAGGGCAUCAUGGAUGUCAGGCAGGAUAAUGGUGUUCUUUCUUCUGGCCUGGAACUCUCUGUGACCCGGAACUUGGCAUGCUCCUCCUCUUCACUUUGUGCUAUGCCCAGAGGCUGCCCUUCUGCUCUAGACAGUGCUCUACUGCUAUGAAGAGACACCAUGACCAUGGAAACUCUUAUAAAAGAAAGCACCUGGUUGGGUCUUGUAGUUUCAGAGGGUUAGUCCAUUAUCGUUGUGGCGGAAAUUGUGGUGGUAUGGAAAGGUAGCAGAAAGUUCUACAUCUGGAUCCAUGGGCAGCAGGAAAAGACAGGCAUUGGGCCUGGCUUGAGCACGUGAAACCUCAAAGGCUGCCUCCAGUGACACACUUCCUCCAACAAAGCCACACCUACUCUAAUGAGGCCACAACUCCCUGGUGACCAAGCUUUCAAAUCUACGGGUCUAGGGGGGCCAGUCUCGUUCAAACUACCACAGACUCUUACAGCGAGUCCCUUCCAAACAAAGAAACAUGGAGACAGCAACUCCCCCUUUCGUAGGACUCACCGUUCUUGACUGUUUUUGUGGAGGGUAGCAGAAAUUAAUUCUUUAUCUAUCAAACAAAUUAGACCCUUCUGUCUUUUGCCAUCCGUGUGCUGUAAAAAAGCUCCUGGAAUGACUAAGUGCGUACAGAAACCAGAUCUCCCUCCAUUAGGUAAGUGAACUGUUUCACCUCCUGAUGGAUUGGGCACAUUUGCCAUGACAGGUUCUGAUUUGGGUACACACUCCCCCUCCCCCUCCCCAUUCCCCUCCUCUUCCCCCAACACAGACAUAUGUUGUCCACAGAAAUGAUGAUGCAAACACUAAACAAAGAAUAUGUUUAACCUAGAAUCAGUCACUGCCUUAGAAUAAACGGUGAGGAGGAAGGCUUUGAGUCCUUUAGUGUCUCCUGUUGUCAUAAUUCGAGGUUCUGCUGCUGUGACAAAUCGGUGCAUAAACCAACUUGCGGGGAGCAAAGGAACUGUUUGGAGUACAUCUCCAUAUCACAGCCAUCACUAAAGGGAUGCAAGGCAGAAUCAUGGAGGCAGGAAUUGAAGCAGAAGCCAUGGAGGGGUGCAGCUCACUGCCUUGCUGCCCAUGACUUGCUCAUCCUGUUUUCAUAUACAACCCAGGACUACCAGCCCAAGGAAGGCAAUACCCACAGUGAGAUGGUUUCUCCCUAACCAUUACUUGACAGCGUGCCUCAAAGGCGUGCUAACAAGCCUAUCUGAGGGAGACAACUCUCCCAUCGAGUCUUCCCAGGUGACUCUAGCUUUGUCAUGGUGACAAAACCUGACCAGCAGACCUCUGCCAACCAUAGCCUUCCAACUUUUCUACUGGGGAUGAAAAUGUAUCAGGCCCAUUGUGCAGUCUACAGACUUAUCAUUUAUCUCCAGUCAGAUGAGGGAUAAGGAGAA